UCAGUGUUUUUCCGGAGUGAACUUUUAUCUAAACAACGAAUAAAACUAGUGAAAUAGUGACAACUGAAGUGAUUCCCGGAACAAAUACUUGAAUUUCAAUUGUCACAAAUCAAACAAAUUUGGACUUUGUGUCAUGCAACAAAAUCUUUUCUUCUCAUCCCGAUUGUUUCUUCAAGUGCUAUAGUGUUUGACAUACAAGCUUCUCUGCUUUAAUAUGUUUGGGACAAUAAUAGUUAUGUGCCACUUGAAUGUUUUCAAUUGAAUUAACCAUCACCAUCAAUUACCCGAGGUUAGAAUUCUUUCCAUUAAAUUGGCGUAAUCUUCCAGGGUAAACAAGACCUCUAUGAAGUAAAAUUCUUCGAUUUGCACUACUGGACAGUUUACCGUCCCUGUUUGACCUGGAUAUCUAUUUAAUUGAAAUUUAUCAAGGCUUCACAUCUUUAUCUGCCAGAUGUAAUAACUGAUGAGUAACAUAGCUCAGCCGACACCACUCGUGAUCCUCGAGGAUUUGCAGUCAAAUUUUACACCGAAGAAGGCAACUGGGAUUUAGUCGGAAACAACCCCCCAUAUUUAUUAUUCGUGAUCAUAUUCUCUUUCCGAGCUUUAUUCAUACUCAGAAACGCAAUCCAGUA